rnacentral:rRNA from 1 species
AUGAUUAAAGAUAGCUUGCUAUUUUUAUGAAGAGCGGCGAACGGGUGAGUAACGCGUGGGAAAUCUGCCGAGUAGCGGGGGACAACGUUUGGAAACGAACGCUAAUACCGCAUAACAAUGAGAAUCGCAUGAUUCUUAUUUAAAAGAAGCAAUUGCUUCACUACUUGAUGAUCCCGCGUUGUAUUAGCUAGUUGGUAGUGUAAAGGACUACCAAGGCGAUGAUACAUAGCCGACCUGAGAGGGUGAUCGGCCACACUGGGACUGAGACACGGCCCAGACUCCUACGGGAGGCAGCAGUAGGGAAUCUUCGGCAAUGGGGGCAACCCUGACCGAGCAACGCCGCGUGAGUGAAGAAGGUUUUCGGAUCGU